rnacentral:lncRNA from 1 species
AUACUUAGAGCAGUAUCUCUAGAAAACAAAUGAGAUUCUUCAAAUUGAUGAAGCAGUAUCUCAAACAGAGAGAUGAGAUUCUUCAGAUAAAUGAAGCAGUAUCUCGAAUAUUCGUCUGUUGGGGGAUUUUUUUUGAAAAGACUCUUUUUGAGGGAGAUUCACUAGAAAUGCUUUGCAGGGGAAAAAGCUCAUAAGAGACUUUUUAGGGUAACCUCUGCUUGGGGAGCAAUGACUGUAAAGAAAAAUGCCGGGAAUAUCAUUAUUAAAAAAGUUGAAAAAUGAUUUGCUGAGAAAUAACCCUACGAGCCUAUGUAGGGUAAUAAAUCCAUUGAACUAAAGGAGGAAAGUCUGGGAUACAUAUGCAUGACCCUAGAUCCUGAUAUUUAGGUGUGAUUUUUGUGUGAUGCUCCAUUUUGGAUGGAAGCAUCAUGCAUGGGAGAGUACAUGAGAUGUAUGCAGUAUGCAAUUGCUAGGGGAAUUUAGGAUGUGCAUGUAGGAAUGCGAAUGAUUUUUAUUUUGUUGAAAUUCCCAUUUUGUGGGGGUGCGAUGCAUGAGUAUGCUGAUGAUUGAUAUGAGUGUGUUUUUUUUUUAAUUUUAUGUUUGGUAGGAAAACCAUGUAUGGGUGAUUCGUGUGAUGCAUGUGGGAAUGCAACUGGGUAAUAAUUUUUUUUGUAGGGUUCUUGAUUGCCAACGAGGUUGGACUUUAAAUGGGAGCUGCCAGAUGAGAACUGGUGAAGGAGAUUGAACUGCCAGAUGAGGACAACACUCGAAGGAUAUGUUACCAGACGCGAACUGGUGAAAAUAAUUGAAAUGUCAAACGGGACUGAAUUUGUUUUUGUUUGUCACACAUGAACUGAUUUUUAAAGUAGGCUACCAGACGAGAACUGGUGAAAAUAAUUGACUACCAGACGAGAACUGGUAUCGAAAUAGGUGACCUACCAGACGAGAACUGGUAUUAAGAGAUAAUUUACCAGACGAGAACUGGUAUUAAGAGAUAAUUUACCAGACGAGAACUGGUAUUAAGAGAUAAUUUACCAGACGAGAACUGGUAUU